GGGAAUUCCCGCAAUGAAGCUACCAGACCUCCUCAGACAUCGACUCUCAAUCUUCAGAAGCCUCGGAGGUACCAGAUGACGUCUUAUUCCUUCCAACCCUGUGAUUCCACGAAUGAAGCUGAGUUCCGACAAUAGCACCUUGCUUCUUCCAACUUGGCUGCUAAACGCUCAUAAACGAUUCAGGAUCAGACGCCACAAACAAGAGGAGCUGUUCUUGCAGCAAUGAAUCAUUCAGCGCUUUUUUGAGCGCUUACCGUGCGGAGAGCACUGUAUUAAGCGUUUGGGAGAGUAUGAAACAGCAAAGGUGGUGAAAACGUUCCUUGCCCACAAGGAGCUCAAAAAGCAGAUGCUCAUCACAGUGAUUUUUACUGUCCUUCCCUCAUGUUCAAUUUCUCUCCAGCGGAGAUUCGGCAGUCAUUCUUCAAACGGAAGGUGAAAAAGAGGCCUGUAAAAUAUUUUAAAUGAAUGUCUCCACUCCAAGCCCCCAGAUUCUCUGAGGAUAUACUGAAGGAGCAGCAACUGAAGCCCAUUUUCACGUCUUUGGUACCAGAGAGCAGAUCUUGCGCAAGAAGAAUAUCGUCAUUUGUCAGAGGUUUUCUGCAAUUCCAGCAGCACAGAUGCCCCCAGGCAGCUGAUUUCUGGAACCGGUGCUCAACAAAGACUCCGUCUCAUGACAGCAAUAUCCCACCAGCACCAGCUCCACCAAAUGGUUUUGAGUCUUGCUAAUGGUGAUGAAAAUGACUCAUCUCAAAUCUCAUUAACAUCAGCAGGCUAACAGAGAAUUCUGAUCGUUUCCGGCUUGAGACACUGGGAGAAAAAUCAGUUGCCCG